UACGGGGGGGGCAAGCGUUGUUCGGAAUUACUGGGCGUAAAGGGCUCGUAGGUGGCCAACUAAGUCAGACGUGAAAUCCCUCGGCUUAACCGGGGAACUGCGUCUGAUACUGGAUGGCUUGAGUUUGGGAGAGGGACGCGGAAUUCCAGGUGUAGCGGUGAAAUGCGUAGAUAUCUGGAGGAACACCGGUGGCGAAGGCGGCAUCCUGGACCAAUAUUGACGCUGAGGAGCGAAAGCCAGGGGAGCAAAACGGG
rnacentral:rRNA from 1 species